rnacentral:lncRNA from 1 species
UAUUUUGAUCAGUGAAGGUUUUCUUCCUCCUGCACUGCAGACUAAUGUCCUCUUAUCUUCUGUUUCUAUCUACAGCAGAUGCUGACAUUAAGAGCAAAGGGUGUUAUGCCUUUGUCUACUUUCCUCCCACACAUUCCCCUCCUCCCACUCCAGUUUUCAAGGGGAACGUACAAGAAGAAAAGAAAACUGAAGAUUGUGCACCAGUUAAAAGAUACCUGUCAAUUUUUUACCAGAAGUAGCUAAGAAGAUGUCACAACCAACACCAGUCAUGCAAGGUUGCUGGUGCAUCUUGAUGCCCACAUGCAUGCAGCUGUCUACACCAACCAGCAGUGUGGCUGAGGAGUGGACCAGGUCUGAACUGUGCCAUCUGUGGAUCACCAGAAGGGUAGGGAGAUUCACCCAGAGGAAAUGCAUGGCAGUGUGUCAUAGCUGAGUAGAAUAUUGCAGUAGUGGU